CAAAAAGUAGUUUAAAUUUAAUUAAAAUGUUAACAUUGGAAGUUAGUGAUUAAGAGUGAUCUUAUUUUUUGA
rnacentral:tRNA from 3 species